CUUAAGAAAUCAUUAGAUGGUGAGCUGUAAACUCACAUUUGAAAAUAGCU
rnacentral:tRNA from 1 species